rnacentral:hammerhead_ribozyme from 1 species
AUCCAGCUGAUGAUUUCUAAAUAGGACGAAACGCAUGUCCUGGAU